rnacentral:sRNA from 1 species
UUGAAUGAAUUGAAUAAUUUUUUCAACUUUUUCAACUAAAAUGCUGAAGAUUAAUUGAAUAAUGUUUUUAACCUCUUCAACCUUUUAAAUUGUGCAACCAUUUGCACCCAAAUAUUCAAUUAUUUGUCAUCCAUUUGGAGCCUAUGUUUUGUACAUUGAUAUAUUUUAAAAAUUAUAUUAAUUAUUAAGAAAAAUAAAUUGUUGGGAAUAUGUGUCAAAAACCUGAAAUAAUUUUUUGAUGUGAAAAAAAAAAUUGUAGAAGAGAAGUGUGAAACGGCUAUAAUUGUGCACAUUGUAAUUUUCUAGUGUGAAAGGAUAAAAGUGGAAGAGAAGUGUGAAAGUUUCAAGUUAAUACCAGAUUUUCAUUACUUUCAUUUAAAGUUCGUCGACGAGUGAGGGCUAUACUUUUUGAACUACACCAGCUUCUUGAAUCACUGGUUGGUAUAAGUGAUGCUCGAAAAAAUAUUCUCCAUGUUUUGAAAGAAAUUGCUAAAGAUAUGGGUUUUUUUUUGAGAGCUGGGAGGACGAUUAAAUAAUCUACAUUUGCAUCUUGGUCAACAUGUUAGGUAAGUGUAUCAGAUUCUUUUUUUUUUCUCUAUGAAACAAGUUUGGUCUAACAAUUUAUUAUUGUUCUUGUAGUUUUAUUUCAAAAUCCCAGAUUUACUGAAAGCUGAUUGAAGGAUAAUAAUGAAAGCUUUAAGAGAUCAGAAAGAACACAGUUAAGUUGCAAGAGAAAAAGGAAUGGACAUAUGAAUGAAUAUUUUGUAGAGAAAAGAUUAUUAUAUGCUGCAAUAUAAAGAGACAUAUAUAUGAAGUACAUAUGAGAAUCUUUAAAACAAUAUUGAAAAGUUUACAAUACAACUACUCUAAUUGUAAUAUAGAUAAGAUAUGAUAUUGAAAUAUUUUCUUCACUUUUUUAACUCCUUUUGUUUUUUCUUAUGUGUGUUUUGUAAGAUGUGUGGUGGCCAUUGUUGUGAGUGAACUCAUACGAGUUAUAAGGCUUCUUGAUGGACGUGAUGAUACACUCUGUUCUCCUCAAGAUUUGAUUGAUUUUGCAAGUCUAGAUAAGAGAAACACUCUUGAUAAGGAAGACCAUUACUGAUAUGGUCUAAACCACAAAGUAGCAAUGCAAUAUAUGUCAUGGAUAGUGAACUACAACUUAAAGAAGAUAGGCCGUUCAUAGGGUGUUCUCGUGAUGCGCCUAACCCUUAUCGUGAUCCAUCGAGAUGUGUGUACAUCAAAGAUUAUUUCAUCAUGCCUUUGAUGGAGGAAAUGUUUGAAGUUCUUAAAAGACAUGGAGAUAUGUGUACAUCAAGGAUUACAUUUUAGCUUUCUCUUUCAUUCAUCUCUUGCAUAAUUAUUUGCAUCUUCUAAGCAUUCUAUCAAGUUAGAUCUUAUCUUGUGUUUGACAUUGAGAAAGGUGGAAGUUUGUGUGAGAGGUGCAAGCUUUGUGUAAAAAGUAAAGUUCAUUGGUAA